rnacentral:lncRNA from 1 species
GAAGAGGCAGAGCUCAUCCUGGGGUCAAAGGACCCAGGCGUACGCUAACUAGAAGGUGGUGUGAACCUCACAACAUACAUACAAAUGGUACAAAGUAAGCAGGUGCUCUGGGAGAAGCUGAGGGAAACCCUUUCCCACACCUAGUCCUUUCACUUGGGAGAUAAUUUUGUUUGAUUCUAAAGAGUACUAUGACUUCAGGGCCCAAGGAGGACAGCUCAUUGGAAAUAGUUCAGAGGAGAUCCCAACACAAACUCAUCAUUCAUAAUGGAGAAGCAUCCACUGCACACGCCUACUACUACCAGACUAGUUUUUUCAUCUCUGAAAAAAGGGAACAGAACACUAUGGUCUAGAGAGAUGUGUCACAAGCACUUCAUCCAAGAUGCAACAGCUCAUAGACUGCAAAGAAAGGCACAUACUUUGUGAAGCAACUGGCAAUUAAAUAUUUCAACUGGAUAGUCAAUUCAAGCAUUUUAACUUGAAAGACUGCCAAGAUAGAAGAAUCACUGGAACUCUCAAAUAGCGAUUUCACUAACUUUGUGAUUGAUUUAGGGUCCACGGCAUCCUUCUGUAUAUGCUAUUCUAAUUCGUAAUAUCAGUAACUGAACUUGUCAGAUGCAGCCAGAUUAUUCUCAUCAGUUAAAAAAUCCCAAAUCCAGAACAAAAAGGUCCGUUUAUUUUUUACUAAUGACUAGUCAUACCUUUUGCCUACUGCCACUUAGAAGUUUUUUCCAAAUGAUUUUGACACUUCGGUUAUGGGGAAAAUUUUCCUAAAAAACAGAUUUCUUCCUUUUACUUAUGUCUGAUAAGAGCAUACAUAUCUCAUACAUCAAAUAUAUGUCACACCCCUAUAGGUACAUCCACACACACAUGUAUCCAUACUAUAGACACAACCACACUGUUUUGCUCCCUUAGCAGAAACAAAUAGAUAUGGUAAGUUUUCUGUAUUAUCGUUUGAGUACGCUUUCUACAGAAUUCAGCAGAAGAACAAAGAUGGAUAUAUCCUUUUGCAUCUAUGUCUCUUCAGGUGAGCCCAGUUUGACAGGCCAUUUUCAGCAGAUAAAGCAUAAUAAACACAGAGAUCAGUCAAAACUUCCCUUCGGAUUUUAAGCCCCUUGGGGGGAAAGCGAGUUACUUAGUUGAGCUUGGGCUUCUGUUUUCACGUAAUCUUCUAAAGCAAGAGGCCAGUUUCCUGAAAAUAGAUCUGCAUGCAGAGACUGGCUACCAAAUUAACAUAGGGGAAAAAAAUCUCAUUGUUCGCUAGCAGGGAAACGAAAAAAAAAACCAGUUGGUAAAUUAAUAGGGGCUCAUUCAUUCUCCUUCCAGGACAUGCACAAGGAAACAGGAUGGCAGCAGCUGCUAUCUGCUGGCUCUGCUGAGUCUUUCCGUGACAUUCAACCGCGAGGAAAGAUUUUACUCAGUGAACAUUACCAUGUUUCCAUGCCUCCUUAUCCUCCAGCUCCAACAAUCAACCUGACUGUUCUGCAUUUUUUAGGCCAGGAUACUGUAGGGCUGAAUUUCUGUAACUCAGGGUAUUUCUAUUUUAAUCAUCAACAAUUUUUAGGUAUUGCAUCAUUUGAAAGGAAUGUUAUUUUUUAACAACUCUUUCUCACACAGAGAACACACUUAAAAUUGCAAAACUCUCCAUCCCCAGCAUUAAAAUCAUCACCUUUCAGGAACAUCCUUCCUAAUUGUCUCUCAGCCCACAAGCCAUGAGAAUGUUUCCAUUUCAAAAUCCAGUCUUCACUGUCGUACUUUAUAUGAUGCUUUUUGAGCAGGUUGCCCUUCUUUGGAUUUUUUUCUUCCAAAUCUGAUAGGAAAGUUGGAGCCUGAAAUGUGAAUCCAUAAACUACACCAGUAACUCUCGUGUGGCAAAAGCGGAACAGUGGAAAUACAUUGUUUUCAUUGAAGUGAAAUGCCAGUCUGUUCUUGCAUGAGCAAACUGGAUUAAGAUAACUUCCCUUGGGGCUUCAGGAUUUCACAAGGAGACUGUAUCUGACUACAAGACUUCUUUAAGAACGUAGUUUCAAAAUGUUACGGACAUCAGGCUCCAACAGUCCUGACUGGAGAAAGUAGACCAGAAUAGAGAUGCAACUGUUACUGCUGUGGAGCUGGAUCACCUAGCUGUAAGUCCUCUCUCGACUUACAUGCCUUUAGUGAAAGCUUUCCUGCAGGAAGCAGAUGAACAAGGAGCGCAAGACCCGGAGCCGCGCUUCUGAGUUGAAGUCCUGGCUAUGCUAUUUACUAGCUAUGUGAUCCUGGGCAAUCAUUUAAUUUUUCUGAGGUUGAUUAUCCUGAUCUAGAGAAUGGAGACAUAAAUUCCUAGACUGCAGUGGUUGUUAGGGUUAUACGUAAUUCAGUAUAUGGAAACAUUCUAUAAUUUUUAAAGCACUACACAAACAUUUAUUUUAUUAGAUGGAUCAGCACCCCGGAGCGCCUUUUCAGGGUGAAGUACAAAAUGAACUGAGAAGUGGACGGGAAGGUACUCUGAAAAAUAGGGACAGCUUCCAUUUUUGGAACACUCUGCGCCAGAUACUGCUGCAUGCUUUAAUAUGCAUUUUCUCAACGUUCAAAAUCACCUGACAAGGUUGGUGGUGUCAUCUCCAUUUCCCAGGUGAGGGAACAGAGAUUUAGAACGGGGACAUGACUUGCCCUUGGUCACAAAGCUUGUGGAGGGCAAGACCAGGGUGCAAAGCGGGAUUUGCCCGAAUCCAGGCCCAGGCUUUUAGCCGUGAGUCUCUGCUGGCUCAGCGCAUUAUAGAGACUGUAAUGGCUAUUCUCCACGUGGCCGGAUGGAACUUUGAAUGUAAACUGGCUCCGAUUUCAGGGUUUCACCAAUAAGCACAUGAGCAAACCAUUAAAACCAGCUUUGGUUCUGAUCAGCAGAAGCAGCACCCAACAACCCACCAAGAGGACGGCGACAACUUGGAAAUUAGUAGGAUUUGGCUAGCACUGAACGGUUGGAGACCUGGAUGCUCAGCCACACACGUGAUUUGCAGUGUGCCCUUAAGCAAGCCACAUCUCUAAAGCCUGGCUUCCCGCUAAUCUAAAGGAGGCUCACGUCAAAAGAGCAUAGUGACUAGCCCAACACUCAUUCACAUGAUUAUGACAGUGCUAAAAUAAUGUCUCUAAAAUACAGCCCAGCAGUUUAUCCUCCUAAGUUCCCCGUUUCUAAGAGGCAGUAUGGCGACAUGGUCACAUGUAGACUUCUGGAGGCAGAAUGUCAAGCUCUGCAAUUCGCUCCCUGCACAACCCUGGGUAACUUACGUUAACUCUCAGUGUCUCAGUCUCCUCAGCUGUUUAAAAUAAGGAUGAUGAUAGUACCCACCACACCUAAGGUUGCUGUGACAA